UACGUAGGGUCCGAGCGUUGUCCGGAAUUAUUGGGCGUAAAGAGCUCGUAGGCUGUUCGAUAAGUCGGGUGUGAAACCUCCAGGCUCAACCUGGAGACGCCACCCGAUACUGUCAUGACUAGAGUCCGGUAGGGGAGCGUGGAAUUCCUGGUGUAGCGGUGAAAUGCGCAGAUAUCAGGAGGAACACCAGCGGCGAAGGCGGCGCUCUGGGCCGGUACUGACGCUGAGGAGCGAAAGCGUGGGGAGCGAACAGG
rnacentral:rRNA from 1 species